rnacentral:SRP_RNA from 1 species
GGUUGGGUCCCAUGCGACGGAUGCCGCCAAAACCCCGCCAGGGCCGGAAGGCAGCAACGGUAUGGCGGUCUUUCCGGGUGCCGUGGGUGUCCUGGCCCGC